CCUACGGGGGGCAGCAGUGGGGAAUAUUGGACAAUGGGCGAAAGCCUGAUCCAGCCAUGCCGCGUGUGUGAAGAAGGCCUUCGGGUUGUAAAGCACUUUCAGUGGGGAAGAAAGCCUUGGGGCUAAUACCCUCGAGGAAGGACAUCACCCACAGAAGAAGCACCGGCUAACUCCGUGCCAGCAGCCGCGGUAAUACGGAGGGUGCGAGCGUUAAUCGGAAUUACUGGGCGUAAAGCGCGCGUAGGCGGUCUGAGAAGCCGGUUGUGAAAGCCCCGGGCUCAACCUGGGAACGGCAUCCGGAACUGUCAGGCUAGAGUGCAGGAGAGGAAGGUAGAAUUCCCGGUGUAGCGGUGAAAUGCGUAGAGAUCGGGAGGAAUACCAGUGGCGAAGGCGGCCUUCUGGACUGACACUGACGCUGAGGUGCGAAAGCGUGGGUAGCAAACAGGAUUAGAUACCCGAGUAGUC
rnacentral:rRNA from 1 species